rnacentral:rRNA from 1 species
CGAACGCUGGCGGCGUGNNANAACACAUGCAAGUCGAGUGCGCGUCUGUAGCAAUANNNNAUGGCGCACGGCGCACAGGUGCGUAACACGUGGGUAAUCUGCCCUUCGAUGGGGAAUAACUCCGGGAAACCGAAGCUAAUUCCGCAUAACAUUCCUUGAACCUCGGUUUGGGGACUCAAAGCCGCAAGGCACCGGAAGAGGGAUCCGCGGCCGAUUAGCUUGUUGGCGAGGUAAUGGCUCACCAAGGCAUUGAUCGGUAGCCGGACUGAGAGGUUGGCCGGCCACACUGGAACUGAGACACGGUCCAGACUCCUACGGUUAGGCAGCAGUGGGGAAUCUUGCACANUGGACGAAAGUCUGAUGCAGCAACGCCGCGUGGUGG